UCAGACUCCACUCCUUAAUAUGUGACCCAGAUGCUGAGCCCCAGCCAGCUAGGACAGUCAACUGACAGGGCUCCAGCGCACAGUUGAGGAAAAGGCUCCGCUUCCUGAACUGCUGUUCUCGCUUAAUUCCCACUCAGCUGCUUGUGCUGUGUUAAUAAACUCGGAGAGAGAGAGGAUGGAGAGUGGGAUUCUGUGCAUGCUCACAAGCGCGCUGUGCCUGUUCACUUGGGCUACUAGCUCAACAAUAGCACCCGGGAACAUGACACAAACAGCAGGCAACAUGUUCACCAAUAAUACUGU